rnacentral:rRNA from 1 species
GACGAACGCUGGCGGCGUGCUUAACACAUGCAAGUCGAACGGAAAGGCCCUGCUUUUGUGGGGUGCUCGAGUGGCGAACGGGUGAGUAACACGUGAGUAACCUGCCCUUGACUUUGGGAUAACUUCAGGAAACUGGGGCUAAUACCGGAUAGGAGCUCCUGCUGCAUGGUGGGGGUUGGAAAGUUUCGGCGGUUGGGGAUGGACUCGCGGCUUAUCAGCUUGUUGGUGGGGUAGUGGCUUACCAAGGCUUUGACGGGUAGCCGGCCUGAGAGGGUGACCGGCCACAUGGGGACUGAGAUACGGCCCAGACGCCUACGGGAGGCAGCAGUGGGGAAUAUUGCACAAUGGGCGGAAGCCUGAUGCAGCAACGCCGCGUGCGGGAUGACGGCCUUCGGGUUGUAAACCGCUUGCGCCUGUGACGAAGCGUGAGUGACGGUAAUGGGUAAAGAAGCACCGGCUAACUACGUG